rnacentral:rRNA from 1 species
GUAGGUGGCAAGCGUUGUCCGGAAUUAUUGGGCGUAAAGCGCGCGCAGGCGGUUCUUUAAGUCUGAUGUGAAAGCCCACGGCUCAACCGUGGAGGGUCAUUGGAAACUGGAGAACUUGAGUACAGAAGAGGAAAGCGGAAUUCCACGUGUAGCGGUGAAAUGCGUAGAGAUGUGGAGGAACACCAGUGGCGAAGGCGGCUUUCUGGUCUGUAACUGACGCUGAGGCGCGAAAGCGUGGGGAGCAAACAGGGAUUAGAUACCCUGGUAGUCCACGCCGUAAACGAUGAGUGCUAAGUGUUAGGGGGGUUUCCGCCCCCUUAGUGCUGCAGCUAACGCAUUAAGCACUCCGCCUGGGGAGUACGGCCACAAGGCUG